rfam:Parcubacteria (Falkowbacteria) bacterium GW2011_GWF2_43_32 TV95_C0001, whole genome shotgun sequence.
AAUUUAGAGAGUUUGAUCCUGGCUCAGGAUGAACGCUGGCGGCGUGUCUAAGGCAUGCAAGUCGAAUGUCUGUAGCAAUACAGGCAUGGCAAACGGGAGAGUAACACAUUGGCAAUCUACCUCUAAGACGAGGAUAACCUUGCGAAAGCGAGAGUAAUACUCGAUAGUAUUAAAAAGCAUAAGCUUUUUAAUUAAAGCUCCGGCGCUUAGAGAGGAGCCUAUGGCCUAUCAGCUAGUUGGCGAGAUAAUAGCUCACCAAGGCUACGACGGGUAUGGGGUGCGAGAGCAUGGACCCACUCACUGGGACUGAGACACUGCCCAGACUCCUACGGGAGGCUGCAGUCAAGAAUCUUCCCCAAUGGGCGAAAGCCUGAGGGAGCGACGCCGCGUGUAUGAAGAAGCUCAUGACGGUACCUGAUGAAUAAGGGGCUGCUAACCUCGUGCCAGCAGCAGCGGUAAUACGAGGGCCCCAAGCGUUAUCCGGAUUUAUUGGGCGUAAAGCGUCCGUAGGUGGUUUAUCGCAUCUCCUGUUAAAUCUCGAGGCUCAACCUCGAGUCAGCGGGAGAGAUGGAUAAACUGGAGACUGGAAGAGGCAAACGGAAUUGCUGGUGUAGGGGUUAAAUCCAUUAAUAUCAGCAAGAACACCAAAUGCGAAGGCAGUUUGCUAGGACAGUUCUGACACUCAGUGGACGAAAGCGUGGGGAGCGAAUGGGAUUAGAUACCCCAGUAGUCCACGCCGUAAACGAUGGAUACUAAGCAUUGGCAGUAUCGACCCUGCCAGCGCUUACGGCCGCAAGGCUAAAACUCAAAGGAAUAGACGGGGACCCGCACAAGCGGUGGAGCAUGUGGUUUAAUUCGAUGAUAAGCGAGGAACCUCACCAAGGCUUGACAUCUAGCUGCAAGGUCUGGAAACAGAUCCGCCUUCGAGGGUGCUAGACAGAUGCUGCAUGGUUGUCGUCAGCUCGUGUCGUGAGAUGUACCGUUAAGUCGGGAAACGAGCGCAACCCUUUUCCUAUGUUUUAUAUGUCAUGGGAGACUGCCCGUUUUAAAUGGGAGGAAGGCGGGAUGACGUCAAAUCAGCAUGGUUCUUACGCCUUGGGCAACACACGUGCUACAAUGGGGAAUACAAAGGGACGCCAAACCGUAAGGUGGAGCCAAUCCCUAAAAAUUCUUCUCAGUUCGGAUUGAGGGCUGAAAUUCGCCCUCAUGAAGCUGGAAUCGCUAGUAAUCGUGGAUCAGCUAUGCCACGGUGAAUACGUUCUCGGGUCUUGUACUCACCGCCCGUCACGUCAAGGGAGUUGGUAGUGCCCGAAGGCUCGCAUUAGCGGGACGAAGGCAAGACUGGCGACAGGGACGAAGUCGUAACAAGGCAUCCGUAGCGGAAGCUGUGGAUGGAUCACCUCCUUU